AACGAACGCUGGCGGCAUGCCUAACACAUGCAAGUCGAACGAGACCUUCGGGGCUAGUGGCGCACGGGUGCGUAACGCGUGGGAACCUGCCCUUAGGUUCGGAAUAACCCAGAGAAAUUUGAGCUAAUACCGGAUAAUUUCUUCGGACCAAAGAUUUAUCGCCUUUGGAUGGGCCCGCGUAGGAUUAGCUUGUUGGUGGGGUAAUGGCCUACCAAGGCGACGAUCCUUAGCUGGUCUGAGAGGAUGAUCAGCCACACUGGGACUGAGACACGGCCCAGACUCCUACGGGAGGCAGCAGUGGGGAAUAUUGGACAAUGGGCGAAAGCCUGAUCCAGCAAUGCCGCGUGAGUGAUGAAGGCCUUAGGGUUGUAAAGCUCUUUUACCAGGGAUGAUAAUGACAGUACCUGGAGAAUAAGCUCCGGCUAACUCCGUG
rnacentral:rRNA from 1 species